rnacentral:tRNA from 13 species
AAAAAUCUGGCCGAGUGGUUAAGGCAUCCGCUUUGGAAGCGGUAGGUCGCGAGUUCUAAUCCGAUGUUUUUU